rnacentral:rRNA from 1 species
UACGUAGGGUGCGAGCGUUAAUCGGAAUUACUGGGCGUAAAGCGUGCGCAGGUGGUCAUGCAAGACAGAUGUGAAAUCCCCGGGCUUAACCUGGGAACUGCAUUUGUGACUGCACGGCUAGAGUGCGGCAGAGGGGGAUGGAAUUCCGCGUGUAGCAGUGAAAUGCGUAGAGAUGCGGCGGAACACCGAUGGCGAAGGCCAGCCCCCUGGGCUGAGAUUGACGCUCAGGCACGGAAAGCGUGGGGAGCAAACAGG